CACCAACUCGAUUUCAUCCCAAUGGGUGGGCAGUGUUAGUAGGAUUUUUCAUUAUGUGCAAGCAAUGAGGUGUGAAUCCUACCAAUGAGUUAUCUGGUUGUUUCUAUCAUCCAAGGACCACAAAAGGGCAAAAGAAGAUUAUCACACUCCAAAGGGUGACAACCUUUGAGUCUUCGUUCAUUGAGUCCCUGGAGAAGAUGCACAAAUUUGAGACACAUUGGUUGGUAGUGAGGCCUCUGCCAUCAUGGAAGGCAUCACAGUUCUGGUGUAUCACUAAAAUGAGCGAGAGCCUACUAAAGUUUUCGGACAUCAGACUGGUUUCAAGAGCAUACCAGUUAGAAAUUAGCAAGUUGUUGAGAGGUGAUCCGAUCAUGCUUUCAAAUUUACUAAUGAAUGAGCGUCUGAAAGACAUUGGGGGGAUUAUGAGAAUAGACAAUGCUAGACCUUCACAAGUGACUGCACCCGAGGGGACCACUCUCCAAGAGAAUGAGGGAGAAAAAGAAGAAAGUAGUGAUGAGGAGGCAACAAGUGAGGAAAAAGAUGAGGAAAUGAUGGAAGAAGAGGAGAAAGGGUGUGAGAGAGAAACAGACGCCAAGGAGAUGGAGCAGUUCAAAGUGGUUAUGUUGAAAAAGAUGGCUAAGAAGGAACAAUGGGCCCUCGAGAUGUGUGAGCAUAAGGAGAGAGCCCCAAUUGUAGAAAAACCAAGCACUGCAGGAUCCGACCUCGUAGUAAAGUGUCAUUGAAGGCUAAGGAAAAGAUGGAGAAUCCUUAGCAAGAAGAAAUAAAAGAGAAAGGACUGGCAGUGAGAAGGAAAUUGGCCCUUCAAGAAAACCAUCGAUAACCAAUAUGCUUGAUCUCCCCCCAAUUGCAUUGCCCAAAUGUCGCCAUCCCCUGAGCAUCUAGCAGGGUUUAUAAGUCAAGGAGAUUACGUUCUUCACUCAAUCCUGCCACCCAAGAAACUCUUCGAGUUGUGAGCGUUAAGAUGGCAGUAGCAACAGAGGAAGAGGAAACCUCUAGGAUUGAUGCGGUAGCAUUGGAUAAAUACCAUGAUCAGCAUCGAGCCACGUGUAACUACCUCAUUCCUUAACCAAUAGAAUGUCCACCGAGGAAAGAACUCAACUUAGAGCCUCGUACACAGCCAUCGUUGUUUCCAGAGCUCCCACCUAUCCAUAAAGAUGAAAUUUAUUUGCCCCACUGUCAACUAAAGGGACAUGAGGUCAAUUUCCACCUAGGGCUGCUAGACAUUAUUAUGUUACAUGCCUCAGUAACUGUUUUCUUAAUGGCUGAGAGUGUGCAACAUGCUACAGCCAACUUGACCAAGUUUUUAGGAGUUUGUUAUUAGUUGUUUAUUUUUAGUCUAACAGUUAUGAGAACAUGGGCAACGUUGCAGUUUGUUUGCUGAGUUUUCUAUGUACUUAAAGGGUUUCUCAGUUAAAUUAAAUUAUGUGUCUUUCCAGCAACUUUGAUUUUCUUUGUGAGUUAGGUAUUUUUUUCUGCCAACAAAGUGGUAUUAGAGCACUUCUUCUUAAGGGAUUGUGAGAGUUUGAGGGUACACCACACAUUCAAAACCAAACCAACCCUGUUACACCCAUUAUGGAUUCUGAUUCACCUUUCACAGCCGCUGCUCCUCCAGUGUUUGAAGGUGUGAAUUAUCAGGUAUGGGCAGUUAGAAUGGAGGCAUAUCUUGAAGCUUGUGAUCUUUGGGAAGCUGUAGAAGAGGACUAUGUGUUUCCUCCCUUGCCUAAUAACCCAACUCUUGCUCAAAUCAAGAAUCACAAAGAAAAAAGGCAAAGGAAAUCAAAAGCAAAGGCAUGUCUGUUUACAGUUGUAUCAUCAGCAAUCUACUAGAAUUAUGGCCUUGAAAUCAGCAAAGGAGAUCUGGGACUUUCUCAAGAAAGAGUAUGAAGGCAAUGAGAGAGUUAAAGGGAUGCAAGUGCUGAAUCUGAUCAGGGAGUUCGAAAUGCAAAGGAUGAAGGAGUCAGAUACUAUAAAGGAGUAUUCGAACAAACUUCUCAGCAUUGUGAAUAGGGUAAGAUUGCUUGGAACUAAAUUUCCUAAUUCUAGAAUAGUUCAGAAAAUUCUAGUUACUGUCCCAGAAAGAUUUGAAUCAACAAUUUCUUCUCUGGAAAAUACUAAAGACCUGUCAAGCAUUACCUUGGCAGAAUUAUUGAAUGCUUUACAGGCUCAAGAGCAAAGAAGACUCAUGAGACAAGAAGGUUCCAUUGAGGGAGCUCUGUAGGCUAAGCUUGAAAUUGGUCAAAUUAGCAAAGGGAAGAAAAAGACAGCAAAAGGCAACAACUGUGCUCAAACAAAAGGUGCGGACAACAACAGUAGCAAUAGAGGUUAUAAUAAACAAAGUUACCCUCCUUGUCAACAUUGUGGCUGAAGAAAUCAUCCUCAUUACAAGUGUUGGAGGAGGCCGGAUGUCAAAUGCCAUAAAUGCAAUCAGCUGGGUCAUAUUGCAAAGUUUUGCAAAAAUAAAAACCAGCAGCAACAAGUUGAAGCACAGAUUACAAGUUAAGAGGAAGAGCAAUUAUUUGCAGCAACUUAUUUUGCUACCAGCAACUCAAGUGAGAGCUGGUUAAUUGACAGCGGUUGCACCAAUCAUAUGACAUACAAUGAGGAAUUAUUCAAGGAGCUUGAUAGAACUGUUGCCUCCAAAGUCAAAAUUGGUAAUGGAGAAUUUAUUGUUGUCAAAGGAAGAGGGACAGUUGCACUGGAAAGCAGUUCAGGUACUAAAAUUAUAACUGAUGUUCUUUAUGUACAUGAAAUUACUCAAAACUUGUUGAGUGUUGGGCAGUUGCUUGAAAAGGGAUAUAAAGUUCUGUUUGAGGACAGUUUAUGUCUGAUCAAAGAUAUAGCGGGACAGGACUUGUUCAAAGUGAAAAUGAGAGGCAAAAGCUUCUCAUUAGACUUGAUGGAGGCGGAGAAAGCUUUCUUUCUUAGUUCAAACAACAGUGUAGAGCUUUGGCACAAGAGGAUGGGACACUUCAACUCUAAUGCACUGCUGCUAAUGAGGAAAAUGGAUCUUAUGCAAGGCCUACCAUCGCUGAAUGAACUAUUGUCAAGCUGCAAGGUGUGUCAAUAUGGAAAGAAAACCAGGCUGCCUUUCUCACAGACAGCUUGGAGAGCAACAAAGAAGUUGUAGUUGAUCCACACUGAUCUCUGUGGACCUCAGUCAGAACCAUCAUUAAAAGGAAGUAAAUAUUACAUUGUCUUUAUUGAUGAUCUAACCAAAAUGUGUUGGAUUUAUUUUUUAAGAUUCAAAUUAGAGGUUGCAAAAGUUUUUUGGAGAUUCAAAGCUUGGAUUGAAAAUCAAAGUGGCUGCAAAAUUCAGAUUUUGCGAUCAGAUAAUGGGAAGGAGUAUACAUCAGCACAGUUUAAUCAGUUUUGUGAAAAAGCUGGAAUUAAACACCAACCCAACUCACUACCCCUUACACUCCACAGCAAAAUGGGGUGAGUGAAAGGAAGAACAAAACAAUAAUGGAGGUGGUUCGAUGUUUGCUACAUGAGAAAGGACUUCCAAAAAACAUAUGGGCAAAAGCUGCUAAUACAGCAGUGUUUCUGCUAAAUAGGCUUCCUACAAAAGCUGUCAAUGGGAAAACUCCAUUUGAAGCAUGGUAUGGUUAUAAACCUUCACUACAAAAUUUGAAUUUUUUUGGUUGUAUCUACUUUACUCAUGUCCCUCAGGUGAAAAGAGAUAAACUUGAUAAGAGAGCAGAACCUAGCAUUUUUAUUGGUUAUAGCAACAUCUCUAAAGCUUACAGAAUUUAUCAACCUCAAACUGGUAAGAUUCUAGUCAGCAGAGAUGUUCAUUUUGUGGAAGAGCAACAAUGGUGUUGGGAAGGACAAGAAGAAAAGCAAAUUUCUGAGCAAAUUAUUGACUUUCCAUUGGAGCAAAGUGAACAAGUUGAUGAACCACCUGUUAGAGGAACCAGGCUGCUCGCUGAUGUUUACCAAAGAUGCAAUGUUGCAGUGUUAGAACCAAAGGGAUUUUGUGAAGCAAAAGAAGAUCCAAAAUGGGUAGCUGCAAUGCAAGAGGAGCUAAAAAUGAUUGAAAAAAAUCAGACUUGGAAGCUAGUUGAGAGGCCUCAACACAAAAAUGUUAUUGGAGUCAAAUGGGUAUUUAGAACCAAAUUGAAUUAAGAUGGUUCUAUCAACAAGCACAAGGCCAGACUUGUAGUGAAGGGGUUUGCUCAAGUGUUUGGAGUUGACUUCUCAGAAACAUUCGCUUCUGUUGCACGACUUAACACCAUCAGAUUGCUCUUGGCAUUGGCAUCUCUAAAAAGAUGGAAAGUGUUUCAGCUUGAUGUAAAAUCCGCAUUUCUUAAUGGUUAUUUACAAGAGGAGAUAUAUGUUGAGCAACCUGAGGGAUUUAUAAUGCAAGGGGAGGAAGACAAGUUUUAUUUACUCAAGAAGGCCUUGUAUGGAUUAAAACAGGCUCCAAGAGCCUGGUAUAGCAGAAUUGAUGAGCAUUUGUUGAGUCUUGGUUUUGCAAAAAGUUUGAGUGAGUCAACUCUUUAUGUUAAGCACUCUAAUGCUGAUACUCUGAUUAUUUCUUUGUAUGUGGAUGAUCUCUUAGUGACAGGAAGUAAUGUCAUGCUCAUUGAGCAGUUCAAGCAGGAAAUGACGAAAGUCUUUGAAAUGACAGACCUAGGAGUAAUGGCAUAUUUUCUUGGAAUGGAGAUCAUGCAAGAUUAGCAAGGAAUUUUCAUUUGUCAAAGAAAAUAUGCUAAGGAGAUUUUGAAGAAAUUUCAAAUGGAGGAUUGCAAAUCAAUGAGUACUCCUAUGAAUCAAAAGGAGAAACUUCACAAGGAAUAUGGUAUAGACAAGGUUGAUGAAGUUGUUUAUAGGAGUCUCAUAGGCUGCUUGAUGUAUCUCACUGCAACCAGACCAAACAUACAACAAGUAGUGAGUGUAUUGUCAAGAUUUCUACAUUAUGCUAGCGAGGAGCAUUAUAAGGUAGCCAAACGUGUGCUAAGAUAUGUCAAAGGGACUCUAGAUUAUGGAGUUUUGUUUAAUCAUGGUCAAGAUUAUCAUUUCCAUGGAUUUUCUGAUAGUGAUUGGGGUGGAUCCAUAGAUGACAUAAGAAGUACUUUAGGGUAUUGUUUUACUCUUGGAUCUGGUGUGUUUUCAUGGAGCUCAAAGAAGCAAGAGAUAGUUGCUCAGUCUACUGCUGAAGCUGAAUUCAUAGCUGCAAUUACAGUUGUAAACCAAGCAUUGUGGCUAAGGAAAAUCCUGGCAGACUUACAUAUGGAGCAGGAGGAGAGUACUAAAGUGUUUGUGGAUAAUCAAGCAACAAUUGCAAUCUCAAAUAAUCCAGUUUUCCAUGGUAAAACUAAACACCUCAAUAUCAAGCUAUACUUUCUCAGAGAAGUACAGCAAAAUGGUGAGGUGAGUCUGCAAUAUUGCAAUACAACUGAUUAAUUAGCCGAUAUAUUCACAAAGGCGCUCUCUAGGAGCAGAUUUGAAUUUCUAAGAGAAAAGUUGGGACUGUGCAACUACUGACGCGGGAGGAGUGUUAUGUUACAUGCCUUAGUAACUGUUUUCUUAAUGGCUGAGAGUGUGCAACAUGCUACAGCCAACUUGAACAAGUUUUUAGGAGUUUGUUAUUAGUUGUUUAUUUUUAGUCUAACAGUUAUGAGAACAUGGGCAACGUUGCAGUUUGUUUGCUGAGUUUUCUAUGUGCUUAAAGGGUUUCUCAGUUAAAUUAAAUUAUGUGUCUUUCCAGCAACUUUGAUUUUCUUUGUGAGUUAGGUAUUUUUUUCUGCCAACAGACAUGUAUUGUAGCAGACCUUAGUAUUGGUGUGCGAUUGAUUUAUUCAAUAGUUUUGCCUCUUGAUGAGCAAAAAUUUGUGAAGUAGGCUCCAACAAACACUAACAUGACAGAGCAAUACUUGGUGGAGGGCAUUCAAAGGCAGGUAGUUGCCAACCUUUGAGUGAAGUUUGCAUGAGCAGAGGCAAACCACCACAUGAGAAUUGAAGAAACCACAUGGUGGCAAGAAGAGCGUCACUGUCUCAAGAGCAAAAUCCAAAGCCUUCAAGGAUAUAAAGAUUGGGCUAAAGACACAGGGAUAGAAAAUAAGAACCUGAAGACCAAAAACUAUGCCCUUGAGGAGAAAUAUGAAAAAAUGAAGUGCAAGCAUGAGGAGCUAUGCAAAGAAUAGGAAGAGCAAGGAAGGACAUUAAAUGCAACCCAAACUUCCAAUGUUGCCUUGGUUGAGGAACAGGCGUCCUUGGUCUAAAGAUGCGCGCAACUGGUGGAGGAGCUAAAAUAAGCUUGCGCUGACAUCUAAGAUUUGCAAAAGAGAGUGUAAGAGGCCGAGCACAGGUUAGAGAGGACAAGUGUAAUGGUAACACGCUCAGCAACCAUUAAGGAGUAUUGGCUGUCCAGGGAAUGCUUCAAAAGAAAGCAAAAGUAUGCUUUAGGUUUUGUGCGGUAUCAAAACAUGGCAAGAAUGCAACUAUACGAGUAAAAUGACUUUUCAUUCAUA